ACCUGGGCUCCGCUGGUCUAUAUCUGUCACCAAAAGAUGGGAACAAAAAUGGAAAGGAGCAAUCUUUGGCUUGUUGGAGACACCCUCACUCCGUUUUCAGUGUCUGUUUAAUAAGGAGCAGAGCGGAGCCUGUUGAAUAAGCAACAAAGUAGCUCAGUAGGCAGUAGACUGGCUGCCUGCCGAGCGUGUGUGUUGGCCUGGGUCAGCUCCAUCCCUCGAACCAAAAGCAGAGAUCACUGGAGAAGUGUUGCCACCGAGCAGCCAUAGGACUGGCCCUGCUUCCUUCCAUGCCUGUGAAGCCUGUAGGACUCUCCACAAAAGCUGCAGUUGCCGGGAAUCAGAGACAAGGAAACAGGCUCUGAGAGAUUAAGCAACUCAUCCCACUUGCUCAACCAGCAUAUGUGGGAGACCUGACAACCCGCCCUGUGUGGCCGUUUCACAAGCCAACGCCCAGCCACAGGGGACGACUGUUCCUGGGACUGGAAGUGAUGAAGAGGAGCCAUGAUGGUUAAACUUCUUUAAAAGAAAGAAGACAAACUGGCUUUCCUUGAUGCCUUUGAACCUGAGUCCAGAAGACUUAGGGACAAUGGAUAGCUAAAAUUUAUUUAUAUCUGAAGUUGGGUGGCAGGGUGCACUCCAGAGGCAGAGGCAGAGGCAGGGGGAUCUAUCUCCGAGUCUGAGGUCAGCCUGGUCUACAGAUCGAGUUCCAAGACAGCCAGGGCUACAAAGAAAAAUCCUGCCUCAAAAAAUGGAAAAAACAAAACAAAACAAACAAAAUACAUUAAAACAAACAAACAAACAAACAAACUGGAUUUAUUCUCUGCCGCGGCUGGGAGUGGACACCUUUGUUCAGCAAAAUGAACCUUUUCCUGAUUGUGCACUUCCAGGCCCUGGGCAAGCCGACUCUAGCACUCUGCAAAACCCCACCUCCCAAAGGAGGGUUGAACUUCUUGGAACCCUUAAAAACUACCAGUGAACUUCAGGAAGUAACCCACGCAACUCUUUCCCAGAAGAGGUCAAUGGUCACAGAAUCGUAAGAAACACCACUCUGACCCCGGGACUUCCUGCCUCCACACUCGGAACAUCUCAAAGUUCAAACUGCUCAGGAACUGACAUCCGGCUGACAGACGGGGAGUGUCGCUCAGUGGUAGAGUGCUUUCCUACAUCGGGAGAGGCCCUGGCUCCUAUCUCCAACUCUGUAAAGAAAAGAUUAAUACUAUGAAACGAAAAUAAACCAGGCUUUAAAGAAAACAAAA